CAGAUAUCAGCUUUACCAUAGAUAGGUGGGAGGCGAAUUAAGUAACGGGCGAAUGGGCUACGCUGUGGUGCUUUGAUAUGCACCCGGGGCCUCUCCAUAGCGUGUAGGGCCCUGAUCCCUCCGGGUCUCUUGAAUAGCUAUCCUUAGCUAAUAUUAGGUACUCAGUUGUACUGCGCUUAGGCGUAGAUUAAAAAUCGGGUCU